rnacentral:misc_RNA from 1 species
UCCUGGUUUCCCAGGCAGUCCCACCAGAGUGCUUACCUAAAAGGUAAUAGCAACUGGCGGCAAGGGUUGCGCUCGUUAGAGGACUUAACCUAACGUCUCACGACACGAGCUGACGACAGCCAUGCAGCACCUGUGAAAUUGUCUAAACCGAAGCUUAGAAGAUCGUAUUUCUACGACUGUCAAAAACAUGUCAAGCCCAGGUAAGGUUCCUCGCGUAGUGUCGAAUUAAACCACAUGUUCCACCGCUUGUGCGGACCCCCGUCAAUUCCUUUAAGUUUUAGUCUUGCGACCGUACUCCCCAGGCGGAUCACUUAACGCGUUAGCUACGACACCAAUUCGGCAAAGCCAAACUGACGUCUAGUGAUCAUCGUUUACAGCGUGGACUAC